rnacentral:rRNA from 2 species
UGAGGAAUAUUGGUCAAUGGGCGGGAGCCUGAACCAGCCAAGUCGCGUGAGGGAAGACGGCCCUACGGGUUGUAAACCUCUUUUGUCAGGGAGCAAAAAAGAGUAUGUAUACUUAGAUGAGAGUACCUGAAGAAAAAGCAUCGGCUAACUCCGUGCCAGCAGCCGCGGUAAUACGGAGGAUGCGAGCGUUAUCCGGAUUUAUUGGGUUUAAAGGGUGCGCAGGCGGGAUGUUAAGUCAGCGGUAAAAUUUCGGGGCUCAACCUCGACGAGCCGUUGAAACUGACGUUCUUGAGUGGACGAGAAGUAUGCGGAAUGCGUAGUGUAGCGGUGAAAUGCAUAGAUAUUACGCAGAACUCCGAUUGCGAAGGCAGCAUACCGGCGUCCAACUGACGCUCAUGCACGAAAGCGUGGGUAUCGAACAGG